rnacentral:tRNA from 1 species
ACAGAAAGCCAGGGAUCGAAGGUCGAAGGAUCGGGGCUCAGCAAUGAACCCGGAGCUUUAGCCGACGAUGCCUCGUCCAAAGUCGCAGUACCCACAACCUAUCGGUUGCGCGCGUUGAGUAAAUCGCGGCGGCAACUGGCGGCGGGCCUGUAGCUCAGUUGGUUAGAGCACCGUCUUGAUAAGGCGGGGGUCGAUGGUUCGAAUCCAUCCAGACCCACCAACGGGACCGGGGCUGUAGCUCAGUUGGGAGAGCACCUGCUUUGCAAGCAGGGGGUCGUCGGUUCGAUCCCGUCCAGCUCCACCAAUCGCGAGUGCUCAACGAGAAAGGCCAGAGCCAAGCGUCGUCGCUUCGCUCUGGUUUUUUACCAGGCUUCUGUUGACCGAAGCAUCGGUUGUUCUUUAACAAUCAGGAAGACGUAAAGGGCACAUGACGCAGUUGGUCAUGUGCCGGGUUGAUUGUAUGCGGGUGGCAGCGAAGGCUGUUGCCCGAAACGCAAACACCCGUGACGCGUAGUGUGUAGCGUUAUGG